AAGGAGUUCAACGGCUGAGUAAUGACGUAGCAGCAUCACAAGGUGGCGCACUUUACAAAGUUAAGAGUCAGCUUGGUCACAUUACUGUGACGUCAGAGAGAAAGUCAUCAUGUUAAAAGGGAUACUGUUCUCCAUAUCAAACCACCCAACUACUUCUGCGAGUGAAGGUCCUGUGUAUUGAGUCUGCGGCAACAAAGACCCUCAUUCUGCCUGACACUGGAGACGUUGUCUUGGCCGGAGCGAGGUCUGCGUCCUGGGACAGAGUGAUGCCAGCCAGCAAAGAGAUGACCCAUGCGUCCUGGCAUAGUCUAGUGACGUGAAGGGGCACCAGAGCGAGUACCGUCAUCGUCUCCGACCAAAACUACGGUGACUCCCCCAUGCUUUCUGACCACAGUCGGGAGGCUGAAGCAGGAAAAGUUAACACUAGGAUCAACAUCGGCCAGGCCUUCAAUUCAUGGAGA